rnacentral:rRNA from 1 species
UCUUUGUGUUUAUAUAUAAAGUCUUCCCUGCUCACUGAGUAUUAAAGAGCCGCAGUAUUUUGACUGUGCAAAGGUAGCAUAAUAAUUAGCCUUUUAAUUGAGGGCUGGAAUGAAUGGGACGACGAAGAAUAAGCUGUUUCUUUUGUAAAAUUAAAAUUUUAUUUUUGAGUUAAAAAGCUUAAAUAAAAUUAGGGGACGAGAAGACCCUAUAGAUUUUUAUAUUAAUUUUUUAAAGUAAUAUAGUUUGUAUAAAAUUUUAGAGUAAAAGUAAUUAACUGGGGCGGUUUAAAAAUAAGUUUAACUUUUUAAUAAAAAAUUAUUGAUAAAUAAAUUUAAGAUCCAAGAAUUUUGAUAACAAGAUUAAAUUACCUUAGGGAUAACAGCAUAAUUUUAUUGGAAAGUUCAUAUAGAAAAUAAAGCUUGUGACCUCGAUGUUGAAUUAAAGUUUUACUUAUAAGUAGAAAGAUAAGUUAUUAGUCUGUUCGACUAUUAAAAUUU